rnacentral:rRNA from 1 species
AGUGAACGCUGGCGGUAGGCCUAACACAUGCAAGUCGAAUGGCAGCACAGUAAGAGCUUGCUCUUACGGGUGGCGAGUGGCGGACGGGUGAGGAAUACAUCGGAAUCUACUUUUUCGUGGGGGAUAACGUAGGGAAACUUACGCUAAUACCGCAUACGACCUACGGGUGAAAGCAGGGGAUCUUCGGACCUUGCGCGAUUGAAUGAGCCGAUGUCGGAUUAGCUAGUUGGCGGGGUAAAGGCCCACCAAGGCGACGAUCCGUAGCUGGUCUGAGAGGAUGGACGGGCACACUGGGAAUGAAACACGGUACAGACUCCUACGGGAGGCAGCAGUGGGGACUAUUGGACAAUGGUCGCAAGCCUGAUCCAGCCAUACCGCGUGGGUGAAGAAGGCCGUCGGGUUGUAAAGCCCUUUUGUUGGGAAAGAAAAGCAGAAGGUUAAUACCCCGCUGUUCUGACGGUACCCAAAGAAUAAGCACCGGCUAACUUCGUG